rnacentral:rRNA from 1 species
GGCUCAGAAUCAACGCUGGCGGCGCGCUUAACACAUGCAAGUCGAACGAGAAAGUGGAGCAAUCCAUGAGUAAAGUGGCGUACGGGUGAGUAACACGUGGGUAAUCUGCCUCUUGGUGGGGAAUAACCCUGGGAAACCGGGGCUAAUACCGCAUAAGCUCGGAAGAGGAAGCCCGAAAGGGGCCGAGAGAGGAGCCCGCGGCCGAUUAGCUAGUUGGUGAGGUAAAGGCUCACCAAGGCGAUGAUCGGUAGCCGGCCUGAGAGGGCACACGGCCACACUGGCACUGAAACACGGGCCAGACUCCUACGGGAGGCAGCAGUGGGGAAUCUUGCACAAUGGGGGCAACCCUGAUGCAGCGACGCCGCGUGAGCGAUGAAGCCCUUCGGGGUGUGAAGCUCUUUCGGCCGGAACGAUGAUGACGGUACCGGCAGAAGAAGCUGCGGCUAACUACGUGCCAGCAGCCGCGGUAAUACGUAGGCAGCGAGCGUUGUUCGGAGUUACUGGGCGUAAAGAGUGCGUAGGCGGUGCUCUAAGUUUGGUGUGAAAUCUCCCGGCUCAACUGGGAGGGUGCGCCGAAAACUGGAGUGCUCGAGUGUGGGAGAGGUAAGCGGAAUUCCUGGUGUAGCGGUGAAAUGCGUAGAUAUCAGGAGGAACACCUGCGGUGUAGACGGCUUACUGGACCAUGACUGACGCUGAGGCACGAAAGCGUGGGGAGCAAACAGGAUUAGAUACCCUGGUAGUCCACGCCCUAAACGAUGCAUACUUGGUGUGAGCGAUUCAUUUCGUUCGUGCCGGAGCUAACGCGUUAAGUAUGCCGCCUGGGGAGUACGGUCGCAAGGCUGAAACUCAAAG